UGGGGAAUAUUGCACAAUGGGCGCAAGCCUGAUGCAGCCAUGCCGCGUGUGUGAAGAAGGCCUUCGGGUUGUAAAGCACUUUCAGCGAGGAGGAAGGUGGUGGACUUAAUACGUUCAUCAAUUGACGUUACUCGCAGAAGAAGCACCGGCUAACUCCGUGCCAGCAGCCGCGGUAAUACGGAGGGUGCAAGCGUUAAUCGGAAUUACUGGGCGUAAAGCGCACGCAGGCGGUUUGUUAAGUCAGAUGUGAAAUCCCCGGGCUCAACCUGGGAACUGCAUUUGAAACUGGCAAGCUAGAGUCUCGUAGAGGGGGGUAGAAUUCCAGGUGUAGCGGUGAAAUGCGUAGAGAUCUGGAGGAAUACCGGUGGCGAAGGCGGCCCCCUGGACGAAGACUGACGCUCAGGUGCGAAAGCGUGGGGCAGCAAACAGGAUUAGAUACCCUGGUAGUCCACGCUGUAAACGAUGUCGAUUUGGAGGUUGUGCCCUUGAGGCGUGGCUUCCGGAGCUAACGCGUUAAAUCGACCGCCUGGGGAGUACGGCCGCAAGGUUAAAACUCAAAGGAAUUG
rnacentral:rRNA from 1 species